rnacentral:rRNA from 1 species
UACAGAGGUCUCAAGCGUUGUUCGGAUUCAUUGGGCGUAAAGGGUGCGUAGGCGGCGCGGUAAGUCGGGUGUGAAAUCUCGGAGCUUAACUCCGAAACUGCAUUCGAUACUGCCGUGCUUGAGGACUGGAGAGGAGACUGGAAUUUACGGUGUAGCGGUGAAAUGCGUAGAUAUCGUAAGGAAGACCAGUGGCGAAGGCAGGUCUCUGGGCUGACACUGACGCUCAUGCACGAAAGCGUGGGGAGCAAACAGG